rnacentral:rRNA from 1 species
GACGGAGGAUGCAAGUGUUAUCCGGAAUCACUGGGCGUAAAGCGUCUGUAGGUGGUUUAAUAAGUCAACUGUUAAAUCUUGAGGCUCAACCUCAAAAUCGCAGUCGAAACUAUUAGGCUAGAGUAUAGUAGGGGUAAAGGGAAUUUCCAGUGGAGCGGUGAAAUGCGUAGAUAUCUGGAGGAACACCGGUGGCGAAGGCGGCAUCCUGGACCGAUACUGACGCUGAGGAGCGAAAGCCAGGGGAGCAAACGGG